rnacentral:misc_RNA from 1 species
AAAUAUUCAAGAGUGACUUAUUAUCGGCUAAUCCAAACAGGCUCAAGGCCACCAAAUAAUUUUUUUAAAAAAGAGGAGCAUAUAGUUAUUUUAGGACUGUACAUACACAAUUCAUCAGUCUCGACGAUACAUCAAUCAUCAUUGACAUCAAGAACAGAAGAAGCCAAAGGGGGGAGGACCAUAUUGUUGAGUAAAAUGACAAUCCAUACACUUGAAGGAGACCUUAGCAAUUAUCAUAUCACACAUGAAGCACCAUAUUUAUUCACAUUUUCUGUACAAAGAGGUGGCAACAACCAACCAUUCCACCUUCACCGCUGAGUCACUCAUGGAAUACACCAUUCUAUUCCGGUGAGCAAAUUCUAACCGUCUCAAUAAUCUGUACAUGAACGUCACAAGAACACAUUAACAGAGGACUUCCUGUAUCCUAGGGGGUAACAGCACAACUAUUAUCAUCUUUAACAUAUUUGAGUCAGCUAUGCCUGCAGCUACACCAUCAUAAAAUGCCAAGCUAAAGCAUGAAGAAUGCGCCAAUAGUUGUCUGACGAAGCACCUUUGAACUUCGAUCUAACCCAUGAGAAGCCACCAUAUGAGUU